rnacentral:rRNA from 1 species
UUUUUGAAAUAUAAUUUAAAGUCUAAUCUGCCCACUGAUAUUUAUUAAAGGGCUGCAGUAUUUUGACUGUACAAAGGUAGCAUAAUCAUUAGUCUUUUAAUUGAAGACUUGUAUGAAGGAUUUGAUGAAAUAUAAACUGUCUCAUUAUUAUUUGUAAAAUUUAAUUUUUUAAUUAAAAAGUUAAAAUAUAUUUAAAAGACGAGAAGACCCUAUAGAGUUUAAUAUUUAAUAAUUUUAAAAUUUUUUAUAAAAUUUUAAAAUUUUAAAUUUAUUAAAUAUUUUAUUGGGGUGAUAAAAAAAUUAAAUAAACUUUUUUUAAAUUUAAACAAUAAUAAUUGAUUAAAUGAUCCAUUAAUAAUGAUUAAAAGAUUAAAUUACCUUAGGGAUAACAGCGUAAUAUUUUUUUUUAGUACAAAUAAAAAAAAAAGUUUGCGACCUCGAUGUUGGAUUAAGAUAAAAUUUAAAUGCAAAAGUUUAAA